GACGAACGCUGGCGGCGUGCCUAAUACAUGCAAGUUGAGCGAUGAAGAUUGGUGCUUGCACCAAUUUGAAGAGCAGCGAACGGGUGAGUAACGCGUGGGGAAUCUGCCUUUGAGCGGGGGACAACAUUUGGAAACGAAUGCUAAUACCGCAUAACAACUUUAAACAUAAGUUUUAAGUUUGAAAGAUGCAAUUGCAUCACUCAAAGAUGAUCCCGCGUUGUAUUAGCUAGUUGGUGAGGUAAAGGCUCACCAAGGCGAUGAUACAUAGCCGACCUGAGAGGGUAAUCGGCCACAUUGGGACGGAGACACGGCCCAAACUCCUACGGGAGGCAGCAGUAGGGAAUCUUCGGCAAUGGACGAAAGUCUGACCGAGCAACGCCGCGUGAGUGAAGAAGGUUUUCGGAUCGUAAAACUCUGUUGGUAGAGAAGAACGUUGGUGAGAGUGGAAAGCUCAUCAAGUGACGGUAACUACCCAGAAAGGGACGGCUAACUACGUG
rnacentral:rRNA from 1 species